AAUCAACGCUGGCGGCGUGCCUCAGACAUGCAAGUCGAACGAUUAAAGCUCUCUUCGGAGAGUGUAUAGAGUGGCGCACGGGUGAGUAACACGUAAGUAAUCUACCUUUGAGUGGGGAAUAACAGUCGGAAACGACUGCUAAUACCGCAUAAUGCAGCGGCAUCGCAAGAUGACAGUUGUUAAAGGAGCAAUCCGCUUAAAGAGGAGCUUGCGGCAGAUUAGCUAGUUGGUAAGGUAAUGGCUUACCAAGGCUACGAUCUGUAUCCGGUCUAAGAGGACGGUCGGACACACUGACACUGAAUAACGGGUCAGACUCCUACGGGAGGCAGCAGUCGGGAAUUUUGGGCAAUGGGCGAAAGCCUGACCCAGCAACGCCGCGUGAAGGAUGAAGUAUUUCGGUAUGUAAACUUCGAAAGAAUGGGAAGAAUAAAUGACGGUACCAUUUAUAAGGUCCGGCUAACUACGUGCCAGCAGCCGCCGUAAC
rnacentral:rRNA from 1 species